rnacentral:rRNA from 1 species
CCUACGGGUGGCAGCAGUGGGGAAUAUUGCACAAUGGGGGAAACCCUGAUGCAGCGACGCCGCGUGAGUGAAGAAGUAUUUCGGUACGUAAAGCUCUAUCAGCAGGGAAGAAAAUGACGGUACCUGACUAAGAAGCCCCGGCUAACUACGUGCCAGCCGCCGCGGUAAUACGUAGGGGGCAAGCGUUAUCCGGAUUUACUGGGUGUAAAGGGAGCGUAGACGGCAGCGCAAGUCUGGAGUGAAAUCCCAUGGCUUAACCAUGGAACUGCUUUGGAAACUGUGCAGCUAGAGUGCAGGAGAGGUAAGCGGAAUGCCUAGUGUAGCGGUGAAAUGCGUAGAUAUUAGGAGGAACACCAGUGGCGAAGGCGGCUUACUGGACUGUAACUGACGUUGAGGCUCGAAAGCGUGGGGAGCAAACAGGAUUAGAUACCCCGGUAGUC